UCCGCCUUAUCGACGGCAGUCUCCCUAGAGUGCCCAGCUUUACCUGCUGGCAACUAAGGACAAGGGUUGCGCUCGUUGCGGGACUUAACCCAACAUCUCACGACACGAGCUGACGACAGCCAUGCAGCACCUGUGCACCAGCCCCGAAGGGAAGGUGUGUUUCCACACCGGUCCAGUGCAUGUCAAAUCUGGGUAAGGUUCUUCGCGUUGCAUCGAAUUAAACCACAUGCUCCACCGCUUGUGCGGGCCCCCGUCAAUUCCUUUGAGUUUCAACCUUGCGGUCGUACUCCCCAGGCGGAGCACUUAAUGCGUUAGCUGCGGCACAGGAGGGGUCGAUGCCUCCUACACCUAGUGCUCACCGUUUACGGCUAGGACUAC
rnacentral:misc_RNA from 1 species